AGUAGAAGAAGAAGGGUAAUAAAAGUGAUGCAAAGUAAGGUAAGCGCGGAGUUGAGUGCCGGAUAGCGGCGGACGGGUGAGUAACGCGUGGGCAACCUACCCUUAAGACCGGGAUAACACCUCGAAAGGGGUGCUAAUACUGGAUAAGCUCCUUGUAGGGCAUCCUAUGGGGAGGGAAGGUAGCGGAAGCUACCGCUUAAGGAUGGGCCCGCGUCCCAUCAGCUAGUUGGUAGGGUAACGGCCUACCAAGGCGACGACGGGUAGCCGGCCUGAGAGGGUGGUCGGCCCACACUGGGACUGAGACACGGCCCAGACUCCCUACGGGAGGGCAGCAGUGGGGAAUCUUGCGCAAUGGGGCGAAAGCCUGACGCAGCGACGCCGCGUGAGCGAAGAAGGCCCUUUCGGGGUCGUAAAGCUCGAUAGUGUGGGAAGAAUAGAUGACGGUACCACACGAAAGCCCCGGCUAACUACGUGCCAGCAGCCGCGGUAAGACGUAGGGGGCGAGCGUUGUCCGGAAUUACUGGGCGUAAAGGGCGCGUAGGCGGCCACUUAAGUCAGGUGUAAAAAACCCGGGCUCAACCCGGGGGAUGCACAUGAAACUGGGUGGCUAGAGGGCAGGAGAGGGGAGUGGAAUUCCCGGUGUAGCGGUGAAAUGC
rnacentral:rRNA from 1 species